rnacentral:rRNA from 1 species
CAUAAUCAUUAGCUUUUUAAUUGGAAGCUCGUAUGAAUGGUUAAACAAAAGAAAUACUGUCUCUUUUUUAUUUUUUGAAUUUAACUUUUGAGUGAAAAGGCUUAAAUUUUUCAAGGGGACGAUAAGACCCUAUAAAGCUUUAUAUAUAAGUAAAUGAUUUUAAGAUUUAGAAAAUAAAAAGAAUAUUUGUUUAUAUAUUAUGUUGGGGCGACACGGAUAUAAGUGAAAAGUAACUAUCAGAGAGAAAAACACGUAAUAGAUGAAAAGAUGAUCCUUAAUAAAGAUUAAAAAACAAAGUUACUUUAGGGAUAACAGCGUUAUUCUUUUUGAGAGUCCAUAUCGAAAAAAGAGUUUGCGACCUCGAUGUUGAAUCAUAAAAUCUUUACAAUGCAGCAGUUGUAAAAG